GACGAACGCUGGCGGCGUGCUUAACACAUGCAAGUCGAACGGUAAGGCCUUCGGGUACACGAGUGGCGAACGGGUGAGUAACACGUGGGUGAUCUGCCCUGCACUUUGGGAUAAGCCUGGGAAACUGGGUCUAAUACCGAAUAGGAUCACGCACCACAUGGUGUGUGGUGGAAAGCUUUUGCGGUGUGGGAUGGGCCCGCGGCCUAUCAGCUUGUUGGUGGGGUAAUGGCCUACCAAGGCGACGACGGGUAGCCGGCCUGAGAGGGUGUCCGGCCACACUGGGACUGAGAUACGGCCCAGACUCCUACGGGAGGCAGCAGUGGGGAAUAUUGCACAAUGGGCGCAAGCCUGAUGCAGCGACGCCGCGUGAGGGAUGACGGCCUUCGGGUUGUAAACCUCUCAGUAGGGACGAAGCGCAAGUGACGGUACCUAUAGAAGAAGCACCGGCCAACUACGUGCCAGCAGCCGCAGUAA
rnacentral:rRNA from 1 species